rnacentral:lncRNA from 1 species
AAGGAAGGCGUCACACCCACAUCUUCUAGCGUGGGAUCAGAAAAGCAAGUGGGCCCUGGUCCUCCCGACAUUCACAACCCUUACCUCUCAGGAUCUUCUAAGAUGGGACGUCACAUACAGGAGGGGACUACACACAGAAGGCAGCCAAGAAAUAGACGAAAAAGAUUCGGGUAUUUAAGCAAGAGAAAUGAAGAUACACGUCACUAUGAAGACCUGCACAAAAAUGCUCACGGCAGCUUUAUUUGUAACACCCCAAAACUGGAAACAGCCAAAUGUCCAUUAACAGAUAAACAAACUAGUAUAAUCAUACAAUGGAAUACCACAUAGCAACCAG